ensembl:lncRNA
GUUGGGAUUAGGUUAGGAUUAGGGUUAAGGUUGGGGUUAAGGUUAGGUUAGGAUUAGGGUUAAGGUUGGGGUUAAGGUUAGGUUAGGAUUGGGGUUAAGGUUGGGGUUAGGUUAGGUUAGGAUUAGGGUUAAGGUUGGGAUUAGGUUAGGAUUAGGGUUAGGGUUAAGGUUGGGGUUAGGUUAGGUUAGGAUUGGGGUUAAAGUUAAGGACUGGGCAAGUGUUAGGGUUAGGAUCAGGUUAGGAUUAGGGUUAGGGUUAAGGUUGGGGUUAGGUUAGGUUAGGAUUGGGGUUAAGGUUGGGGUUAGGUUAGGUUAGGUUAGGAUUGGGGUUAAAGUUAAGGACUGGGCAAGUGUUAGGGUUAGGAUCAGGUUAGGAUUAGGGUUAGGGUUAAGGUUGGGUUAGGUUAGGUUGAGAUUGGGGUUAAAGUUAAGGACUGGGCAAGUGUUAGGGUUAGGAUUAGGGUUAAAGUUGGGAUUAGGUUAGGAUUAGGGUUAAGGUUGAGGUCAGGGCUGAAGCUCAGGGUUAGGAUUAAGGUUAUGGUUGGGGAGGUGGGGGUAAAAUGGGGUAUUAGAAAGGCACCGAAAGGUUGCAAGAUCGAGUCCCCCUGCUGACAAGGUCAAAAUCUUGCGUUCUACCCCUGAACAAGGCAGUUAACCCACUGUUCCUAGGCCGUCAUUGUAAAUAAGAAUUUGUUCUUAACUGACAUGCCUAGUUAAAUAAAGUUAAAAUAGAAAUUAGACCAGGUGAUGGAAAGACAGAGAUGGAGGGG